rnacentral:rRNA from 1 species
AUGCAAGUCGAGCGAGAAAGUUUCUUCGGAAACGAGUAAAGCGGCGAACGGGUGAGUAACGCGUAGGAAUCUACCAUUCAGCGGGGGAUAGCUCGGGGAAACUCGAAUUAAUACCGCAUACACCCUACGGGGGAAAGAAGGCCUAUCCUUGGAAGCUUUCACUGUUUGAUGAGCCUGCGUGAGAUUAGUUUGUUGGUGAGGUAAUGGCUCACCAAGACUACGAUCUCUAGCUGGUCUGAGAGGACGAUCAGCCACACUGGGACUGAGACACGGCCCAGACUCCUACGGGAGGCAGCAGUAGAGAAUAUUGGACAAUGGGGGCAACCCUGAUCCAGGCAUGCCGCGUGUGUGAAGAAGGCCUUAGGGUUGUAAAGCACUUUAGGUAAGGAAGAAAAGUUAAUAGUUAAUACCUAUUGACCGUGACAUUACUUACAGAAUAAGGACCGGCUAACUCCGUGCCAGCAGCCGCGGUAAUACGGAGGGUCCAAGCGUUAAUCGGAAUUACUGGGCGUAAAGCGCGCGUAGGCGGUAUGCUAAGUUGGGUGUGAAAUCCCCGGGCUUAACCUGGGAACUGCAUUCAAAACUUGCAUACUGGAGUACGGAAGAGGCGAGUAGAAUUCAUGGUGUAGCGGUGAAAUGCGUAGAUAUCAUGAGGAAUACCAAUGGCGAAGGCAACUCGCUGGUCCGAAACUGACGCUGAGGUGCGAAAGCGUGGGUAGCAAACAGGAUUAGAUACCCUGGUAGUCCACGCCGUAAACGAUGAGAACUAGCCGUUGGAUCCUUGAGAUUCAGUGGCACAGCUAACGCAUUAAGUUCUCCGCCUGGGGAGUACGGCCGCAAGGCUAAAACUCAAAUGAAUUGACGGGGGCCCGCACAAGCGGUGGAGCAUGUGGUUUAAUUCGAUGCAACGCGAAAACCUUACCAACCCUUGACAUCCAGAGAAUUUUCUAGAGAUAGAUUUGUGCCUUCGGGAACUCUG